rnacentral:rRNA from 1 species
UACGUAGGGUGCGAGCGUUGUCCGGAAUUAUUGGGCGUAAAGAGCUCGUAGGCGGUGUGUCGCGUCGGCCGUGAAAACCUGCAGCUUAACUGUGGGCUUGCGGUCGAUACGGGCAUCACUGGAGUUCGGCAGGGGAGACUGGAAUUCCUGGUGUAGCGGUGAAAUGCGCAGAUAUCAGGAAGAACACCCGUGGCGAAGGCGGCUCUCUGGAACGCAACUGACGCUGAGACGCGAAAGCGUGGGGAGCAAACAGG